rnacentral:lncRNA from 1 species
UCCCUCAAAGACGGUAGCUCAGUAUUCAGGGAUAGCGUGGUGGAUCAUCCUCCUGGCUGUGCUUGCCGGGAUUUUGAUGCUGGCUCUAUUAGUGUUUUUACUGUGGAAGUGUGGUUUCUUCAAGAGAAAUAAGAAAGAUCAUUACGAUGCCACCUACCACAAGGCUGAGAUCCACACUCAGCCGUCUGAUAAAGAGAGGCUUACUUCCGAUGCAUAGUAUUGAUCUACUUCCCUAAUUGUGUGGAUUCUUUAAGCGCUCUAGGUACGAUGACAGUGUUCCCCGAUACCAUGCGGUGCGGAUUCGGAAAGAAGAGCGAGAGAUCAACGACGAGAAACACACUGAUAACCCCGAAAAAAAGUGGCCCCCGAAGUGGAAUGAAAACGAAAGUUACUCAUAGAGGAGGGUGUA